CAGAGGAAAAUCGUGUAGAUCUGCAAGAGGAAGGCACAAGGGGGUUUUAGAGAGAGAGAAAACGAAGUUUGGUUCAGAUUUGAGAAAGAACAAAAGCUCUGUAACCGGAUAUAUAUCCGCGGCUACAGUACCCGUACCUGUACUAGAUCGUGUACCGGUACACGAUCUCAGAUUUCGAAAAUUUUCUUUGAAAAUCCAUCAAAUUUAAAUUAAUUUCAUAUAAAUUAACACUUUUACUCCAAAAAUCAUUAUAAUAAAAAUAAUAUAUUAUAAAAUUUUAAAAUACAUCGAAACAUCAAAAUUUCAUAAUCAAAACUGAUUUCAAGUUUCAAAAUUAUCAAGAUGUGAGUUGAUGAAAAAUGAUUUUUAGAAAUUCAACAAAAUUGACACCAAUUUAUCGCAAUAUGUUCAAAAUAGAGAUUUAACUAAUAUGGCACCGGGGGUGGCUCUUUGAGCAUCUUUUUAACUUACCACCUUAUAACUCCGAAAAUUCUAAAAUAUUCAAAUUUUUUUCAACCUUUUUCGGUUACUCAAUUUAAUCUUCAUGUGGUAGCUUCACAUACUUGCCGGACGACCGGGGUGGUAGCUCUUUCCUACAUGUGGUGGUAGUUUUCACACUCCUUUUGGAUGUAACUCUUUCCACAUCUUUCAAACAUAGGAGUAUCUUUUUCCCCUUUUUUUUUAAACUCCCCCUAAAUUAGACAAUCUCACAAUUGAAAAUAAUUUUGACGAAUUUUAGUCAAUUAGAGAAUAUCCAUCCAUCAUAUCCAACACACACAACCAAAAUGAAUUAAUCACCAAGCGAUCAAAUUUGAUUUCAAAAUUUUGAUGAAUAUAUGCAUUAAGAAAUCAUAUGUUAAAUUAUCGUCAAAAUAAUAAAAAGUGGAGUAAAAACGAUAAUUAAUAUGAAUUUAACGUAAUAUGAUUGUGAAGUUAAAUACCGUUUAAACAACUUUGAAAAAUUUCUCUCCUCAACAUAAUGAUUCUCAAUCAUCUCCUCUCUAAAAUUUUUUUUUUUGAAUUCCAAAACACCUUCCCUCAAAAUUAUUUUUAAACAAAUAAAAUCCAAAGCACCAAAAAUUAUCUAAACAUGUAAU
rnacentral:lncRNA from 1 species